UCCGAUAAAACUAAAAUCUGCACUCAAUGGAUCUGGAAUCUUAACUCUGACGCUGAAUUCGCUGUCUUCAAAAAAUUCGGGGACAUACAAGUGUGAAGUAUUUCGUCCUCAAGUUAAUUAUUACAACUCUGAGUUUGUCAAUAUAAGUGUUAAAGGUAUAGGACUUUUAACUUCAUGUUAGAAACAACUUUUUUUUUUUUUUUUCUCUUAUUUUAAACAUCUAUAUCAUGC